UUUACACUUCAUCGAUCUAACCCUUUCUCUGGUGACCAAACUGUUAAAUGAAGAACGAAAAAACACAGUGGAGAAUCCGUAUGGAUUAUAAGCGGAUCAAUGGGUUUGCUUGGGAACCUGGUGGAACCACGAUGAUCAUCUUUCGAUAGCAUUAUGGUAUCUCCUCUCAAUAAAAGCAUAGCCGCUGCAACUAGGUGGUGUAUCAAGGCUUUAAACCGCUAGGUGAUCCAGACAGACGAGUGUUGUCUCGUGAGGGUCGACAUAUAGAUAUACCCACAAAACCUAUCAUCUUGGUGCAGUUUUAUUCAUCUUGGUCUCUAUCCUGCGGAGGGCAAUUUAAUAACGCCAUAAUCUGAUGCAUUGCCUUGGAUGUAUUCCAAAUAUCCACAAAGAGGUUGUUCCGGCGUUACAACGGUAAUUGAAUUGAAGCCGAAACAGAUUAGGUAUUUGCGAUGUAAAUAUGAAAACUGUCAUGAAGACGUACAGUUGCUAAACGAUGCAAUGAAGGCUAAAGAAGAUGAAAAUGUAGAUGAAUUGUGCAAAAACUUCAGACCAACAGAGAAAAUGAAGAUUGAUUAAUCAAAAAUGGGUUCAUGCUCAACUCCUAAUUGUAAGUUCCAUAUGAAACUGCACUGUUCUAAAGCAAAUAACACGUAUGAUAAUCUUUUUGGAAAUAUCAUGGGUGUGAAUUGGUGUAAUGUAAUGAUCAAGUGUUGUUAUGCUAUAGUUUAAUGAAGAGUUUGAAGGUGAUGUUUAUGA